GGUGAAACUGAUUAAAUACUAGUCAUCAAACCUUUGGAAGUGGUCACUGUGAUGUUAUGUGUAUGGACAGCAGUCUAUAUCUAAAAAAUAACGAGUGAACUGUAGCUCUUUGGCCCUGGAGAAACAUCACUUAUGGCAUUGGCAACCACAUUUAGUUAUAUGAAACAGGCUAGCAAACGUUAGCUGUUAGCAGCAAAAAUGUUUGUUUGUGAACACAAAAUGACCAUCAUAGCAACAAGCCUACUGGGAUUAACAUGUCAGAGAUAUGGAUUUAUCUCCAUGAAGAACAGAAAAGUGGCCUUGACAUCAAAUAAGAUAAUGAGGCUCCUCACACUGUGUUUCAUCCACUGAGGAAUGACAGCAAUGUAAGACCAGCGAGAGGGACCGUUCUCAAGGCCCAGUCGACCCCCACCCCCCAACCUUUCUUUUUUAUAAAGCCAGCUGGAGCCACCAACACAGCCUGACAGCAAAGAGAAGAAGAAGAAGAAGAAGAAAGGGAUCUCGCCCACUCAGGUUUUCAUGCUGUGUGUUCCUGCAGGCCAGGCUUCGCCCCUCUCAGCUUGUUUUGGCCUCCUCUCAGCUGACUCUCUGCCUGGGAAACUGUCCCAGUGUAUUCAUGGAGGAGAGGACUGGACAAUAAGAGGAAGGCGGAGAACUCCACCAGUCGGAGUUUGGAUGUACCGAUGGAGCGCCCCUGCCAUGCUGGUGCUGUGGGAGCUGGAGCUGAUGUGGGCUCGUAACCUGCAGAAACACCAGAAUAAUAAUAAUAUGUACAGAGGUUGGGAGGCUUUACAGCAGAUACACACUAAGUCUGUAAAAAUAAACUCAUGCUUUAUCA